AGAGUUUGAUCCUGGCUCAGGAUGAACGCUGGCGGCGUGCUUAACACAUGCAAGUCGAACGGGGAUUAUUUUGACAGAGACUUCGGUUGAAGUCGUUAUAAUCCUAGUGGCGGACGGGUGAGUAACGCGUGGGUAACCUGCCUCACACUGGGGGAUAACAGUCAGAAAUGACUGCUAAUACCGCAUAAGCGCACGGGAUUGCAUGAUCCAGUGUGAAAAACUCCGGUGGUAUAAGAUGGACCCGCGUUGGAUUAGCUAGUUGGCAGGGCAACGGCCUACCAAGGCGACGAUCCAUAGCCGGCCUGAGAGGGUGAACGGCCACAUUGGGACUGAGACACGGCCCAGACUCCUACGGGAGGCAGCAGUGGGGAAUAUUGCACAAUGGGGGAAACCCUGAUGCAGCGACGCCGCGUGAAGGAAGAAGUAUCUCGGUAUGUAAACUUCUAUCAGCAGGGAAGAUAGUGACGGUACCUGACUAAGAAGCCCCGGCUAACUACGUGCCAGCAGCCGCGGUAAUACGUAGGGGGCAAGCGUUAUCCGGAUUUACUGGGUGUAAAGGGAGCGUAGACGGACUGGCAAGUCUGAUGUGAAAGGCGGGGGCUCAACCCCUGGAUUGCAUUGGAAACUGUUAGUCUUGAGUGCCGGAGAGGUAAGCGGAAUUCCUAGUGUAGCGGUGAAAUGCGUAGAUAUUAGGAGGAACACCAGUGGCGAAGGCGGCUUACUGGACGGUAACUGACGUUGAGGCUCGAAAGCGUGGGGAGCAAACAGGAAGAGAUACCCUGGUAGUCCACGCCGUAAACGAU
rnacentral:rRNA from 1 species